rnacentral:rRNA from 1 species
AUUGAACGCUGGCGGCAGGCCUAACACAUGCAAGUCGGACGGUAGCACAGAGAGCUUGCUCUUGGGUGACGAGUGGCGGACGGGUGAGUAAUGUCUGGGGAUCUGCCCGAUAGAGGGGGAUAACCACUGGAAACGGUGGCUAAUACCGCGUAACGUCGCAAGACCAAAGAGGGGGACCUUCGGGCCUCUCACUAUCGGAUGAACCCAGAUGGGAUUAGCUAGUAGGCGGGGUAAUGGCCCACCUAGGCGACGAUCCCUAGCUGGUCUGAGAGGAUGACCAGCCACACUGGAACCGAGACACGGUCCAGACUCCUACGGGAGGCAGCAGUGGGGAAUAUUGCACAAUGGGCGCAAGCCUGAUGCAGCCAUGCCGCGUGUAUGAAGAAGGCCUUCGGGUUGUAAAGUACUUUCAGCGGGGAGGAAGGCGACGCGGUUAAUAACCGCGUCGAUUGACGUUACCCGCAGAAGAAGCACCGGCUAACUCCGUGCCAGCAGCCGCAGUAA